AGGCAGCAGCAAGGAAUUUUCCGCAAUGGGCGCAAGCCUGACGGAGCAACGCCGCGUGCGGGAUGACGCUUUUCGGAGUGUAAACCGCUGUUCGUGGGGACGAAGCACUGACGGUACCCACGGAGGAAGGCCCGGCUAACUACGUGCCAGCAGCCGCGGUAAUACGUAGGGGUCGAGCGUUGUCCGGAGUUACUGGACGUAAAGCGUGCGCAGGCGGCGCACUGCGCCCGGCGUGAAAGCCCCCGGCUCAACCGGGGAGGGUCGUCGGGGACGGGUGCGCUUGAGGGUAUCAGGGGCUGGUGGAAUUCCCGGUGUAGUGGUGAAAUGCGUAGAGAUCGGGAGGAACACCCGUGGCGAAGGCGGCCAGCUGGGAUACACCUGACGCUGAGGCACGAAGGCGUGGGGAGCGAACGGGAUUAGAUACCCCGGUAGUCCACGCAGUAAACGAUGCAGACUAGGCGUGGGGGGACUUGACCCCCUCCGUGCCGGAGCUAACGCGGGAAGUCUGCCGCCUGGGGAGUACGGCCGCAAGGCUAAAACUCAAAGGAAUUGACGGGGGCCCGCACAAGCGGCGGAGCGUGUUCUUUAAUUCGUCGCAACGCGAAGAACCUUAC
rnacentral:rRNA from 1 species